AGGAAGGCGCCCGGGUGACUGUGUGUCGGCGCUGCCUGAUGAGGGGGGAACCUGAGUGACCUAUUCCCCCUUCAAGCCACGAGUGAAAGCGGGGACCUUCGGGCCUCUUGCUCCCGGAUGGGCCCAUAUCGGAUUAGCUAGUUGGUGGGGUAACGGCUCACCAAGGCGACAUCCCUACUGGUCUGAAGGACGACCAGCCCCUGGAACUGAGACACGGUCCAGACUCCUACGGAGGCACCUGGGGAAUUUUGUGGCAACCUGUCGCCGAAAUUCUUUUUUU
rnacentral:rRNA from 1 species